CGAACGCGCAUCUCUCUUUCUGGGGUCGCGGCCACGCGGUUAACGUUCGUUUUCGUGAACAUCGAGCGCGCGUUACGACCUAAGUGUUAACACGAAUUGUUGUUUCGUGAACGAUCCUGAGACGCGGACUGUGACUGGCGUGACACGGAUGACCGAUCUCGUCAGCGUGAAUUAGCCUCAUCCUUUCGGUGCCGCAAGCCGGCCAAGUUUCAACGUGGAAAGAUCGUCUCGCCCGAGCAUCUUCCGUUCCUGCCGAGAAUUCCUACACUCCCGGAAGGCUGGAUGCGCGGGGCGAUCUCCAAUAGCGUAUAAAGGAUCGAUACAUUCUGUAUUUGUGGCAAACGUUGGCGAUUUUAGGUAAGUGAUAAAAUUGUUAUACAAUUAUAAUGUAUCUAUAAAUAUAAAGAGAAAGUACGGAAUAUU
rnacentral:lncRNA from 1 species